UACAGAGGGUGCGAGCGUUGUCCGGAAUCACUGGGCGUAAAGGGCGCGUAGGUGGCGACCCAAGUCUGUGGUGAAAGCUCGACGCUCAACGUCGAGUCGGCCAUAGAUACUGGGUUGCUUGAGCACUGUAGAGGCAGAUGGAAUUCCGGGUGUAGCGGUGGAAUGCGUAGAGAUCGGGAAGAACAUCAGUGGCGAAGGCGGCCUGCUGGGCUGUUGCUGACGCUGAGGCGCGGACAGCGUGGGGAGCAAACGAGG
rnacentral:rRNA from 1 species